AACGUGUGGCAGAAGAACAAGCGUAAAAGAUAAAACCUCAAAAUGUAUAACAAAUACAUACGCAAAGAAAAAAAAAGAAGAAAAUCGAUCAAACGCAAAAGAAUUUUUUUUGAUUUGCAAACAAAUCUUGCUCACAAAAUGGCGCAGUAGUUGGUUAAAAACAAUUCAAUGUGCUGAGAUUUAAAAAAAAAUGUUAUUUCAAUCAAUUUGCGCAUUCGGCAGAAGCUGGAGGAUGGAAAAGUGGCAACGCGCGUUUAUCACUGCACUCAAUCCAGAUGAAACUAAACUCAAAACAACCAUGAUUCAAGAUGUACUUAAAGAAGAUUUCGUUUGCGAAUCUGAAACAUAUUAUUGAUAAACAAGUGGAUACAUUAUCAUCAACACUUGGACUUUUUAUCAUGUUAUUAAUGAGUAUUUUGGAUUCCAUUCAAUUGAUUGAAGUACAAUUUUAUCAAAAAGAAUGAACAGUCCUUGGCAGAGAGGAUUUCUAUAGGGAUUGGGAUACCUACAUAUGCCGCAGGGUUUGGAUCUUUGGAUGACGAUCAUUUUUCCUUGUCUUAGAGAAGAUUUACCGUCUAACGAUUUAACAGCGCUACGAAUUUUAUAUUCAUAUGGAAAGAUGUAGUUGAACUAUUAAGGAUAGUUUGAAAACAAUGGCAAAGAUGAGGAUAGUAAAUUGAGGCAAAUAAUUAUAAUAUUAUUAUUCUUUGGUAGACUUUUCUUAGCAACAAUUUAAGUGGAGUACUUUUGAAGACUGAGGUUUUGAGAUCUAAUUAACUAAUUGAUUGAUUGUUGAUAUAUUUUGAUUUAUUUGAAAAAUGUUCAACAUGAUUUGUAUUUCUGUUUUUAUACUUCGAAACUGUUCGUCAAUUGAGAGACUGUUUAAAUAGAAUUUUACGUUCACUCUUUAUAAUAUUAUUGAGAAUAUUAGUUUUAUUGAAGAGUCAGAGAUUUCUAUGACAAACAGACAAAAGAAUUUUAAGAGGAUAAUUUGAAAAUAAGCAACUUUUCACUAUACUAAAGUUAUAGAAUGUUAUGAGCAGAGUUCUUUUCUUUUGGCUUAUGGAUUUUCUCCUCUGAAUUAAUUAAUUACUAGAAUUUGAAUCAGAAUAACAAUCUUCAUCAAUCUUGAUCCUCGCUUAGCAAAAGUUUUCUCACAAGAAAGAUCUACAUAGAAGAAUAUAUUAAAGUAAAUGCAUUUUUCUAUCAGCAGAAUUGUCAAUCAAAUCGCAAACUAGAAUAACAAUGUUGUUCAUGUACUUAAAGCGUUGUCAAGCUAUUAUUAGAUUAUUUUCGACAGUUAAAGAUGAACGUGACAUGAAUGAAUUAAAAGCAGGGAAAUAAUCGAUCUACUACAAAAAUUGAUUAAUGGCAAUAUAACAAUAACAAAUGAAAACCUGAGAUUAACAAUCUCGUUUCCUUAAAUAUGCAUCAUUUGAAAUUCAAUAUCAUUUUGUAUUCUGACGAAACUUUUAAACAAAUAUUUAUGAAAUUCUAUCAUUGUCAAAAAAUUCUUAAAAAAAAUUUAAAAUAAUAAAUAAUAAUAUACUAAAUUGCCGAUUAA